CCCUUAGAUGUUCUGGGCUGCACGCGUGCUACACUGAUGCAUUCAGCAAGUAUACUUCCUUUGCCGAGAGGCCUGGGCAAUCUUGUAAACAUGCAUCGUGAUAGGGAUAGAUUUUUGCAAUUAUUAAUCUUUAACGAGGAAUUCCUAGUAAACGCAGAUCAUCAAUCUGCAUUGAUUACGUCCCUGCCCUUUGUACACACCGCCCGUCGCACCUACCGAUUGAAUGGUCCGGUGAAGCCUCGGGAUUAUGAACAAUGCCUUUGUUGGCAUUGUUUGUGAGAACUUGUCUAAACCUUAUCAUUUAGAGGAAGGUGAANUCGUAACA
rnacentral:rRNA from 1 species